GUGAACUCUUGUCUCUCAGUAGAAACCUGCCGCCUCCACACACGUCAGUAGAAGCAAGGAAAGAGGAAGGAGCACGUGUGCGAGACUCGCACUAGUCGCGUCUCUUUGCAACAGCCAGCAGCAUCCCUUUCAGUCUUGCUCGACUUCACGGGCCCUUCUCACAUUCGCAGCGGUGGUACCACCAUUCCAUUCGUCUCCACUCCCUUACCGCUGCCCCCCCCCCCAUUCUAUCUACCGUUAACGUCAGCACGAUAUCAUCAUCGAGACCGGCGGCUAUUCCUCCUCGAUACUUCGUUUGUUUGCCCCGUUUUGCUUGCCUUCCUUUCCGUCGCAUCUGCGUGCGUCUGCUUGUGCGUGUCGUGUCUUCACGAUGCAUCUGCUCUACAAAAAGAACGCCAAUAACGCUCCAGCGCAGAAGAUUCUCGCGGCGGCGGCGUACGCGGGUGUGGAGAUUACCGCGGAGCCGUGUGACGAGAACAAGGCCAGCACCGACGCUGACUUCCUCAACUUCUGCGACCCGUGUGGCGAGUACCCGGUGCUGGAGCCCGGUGACGGUUCUGGUGUCUGCGUGUUCGGUGCCAACGCAAUCCUGCGCUACGUGGCGCGCAUGAAGAAUGAAGGCUCGGUGCACCCCUACGGUCGCACGCCGUUCGAGGCGAGUCAGGUGGACAUGUGGAUCGACUUUUCUAGCACGGAGAUCGACGCGGCGAACAUGCCGUACAUCCGUAUGGCGUACGAGAAGGCUACCAGCGACGCACCGGCGGACGCCCUCGAUAAGGUGAAGGCUGUGCUUUCUGCACUGGAGGAGGUGCUGAGCGUGCGCACCUUUCUCGUCGGUGAGCGCCUGUCCAUCGCCGAUGUGGCCGUCGCCUUCUCGAUCCAUUUGGUGUACCGUUGCAACCGCAAGCACGGCCAGACCCUCUCCAAGGAGUACCGCGCCGUGUACCGCCACUACAACACGGUGAUGCGCCACCCCAAGAUUCACGCCAUGAUGCGCAAGGAGGGCGCAGCACUCGGGCCUCUGCGCAGCUAGAGGCGGCGUGUCGCCUUCUUUUUCUCCGCCUACUGCCACAGUGUGCAAGACUCGGAAACGGUGCCGAGAAGCGAAAACAGAUUCGGGCUGAGAAUGCCUCGUGGCCACCUUUUCUUUCUCUCUUCAUCCCGCUACCGUGCACCGCUCUCUCCGUUUACAUCUGUGCUUGCGUGUUGGCAAUGAUUUUUCUCUCACCGCCUACAUUCGUAGAAGUCCUCUUCCUUCCCCCUUCCCUCUACCUGCUCCGCGUCUACCUCUGAUGGUUGCGUUUUGCCUGAGAGGAGAGGAAAAUGGGUGGGGGGGGGGGGGGGCAUCGAGGCCUGUGCAUUGUUUUGACUCUUCUGUGUGGGUGUGCGCUCCGCUUAUGUUUCUUUUUGUUUUUGUUCUGUCUUCGUCUGCAUUGUUCUUCUCUGUUCGUUUUCUUUCGUACAUUUUCAGCUCUUUCUUUCCCUGUAUGCGAGCUUCACGAAGUUGCUCGCGGUGGCAGUGGAUGAUCACUGUCGGUGAAGAUUGCUUGCCGUCGAUGGCACCUGAAUGGAAGACCUGCAUGAUCUUCCCUUUAUGAGCGAGUGUCUGUGUGGACGUCGGUCUGCCUGCAUCUCUCUCUCUCUGUGAGCAUGUGAUCUUCAUCGCACAAUCUCUUUGUGCUACAGUAGUGUUCGCCCGCGUGGCUUUUUACUCUUUGACUUCUCUGUCGCGCUGUGUUCGGCAUACAUAUACAUAUAUACAUAUAUAUAUACAUAUGUAUAUGUAUAUAUGUAUGUAUGCACGCGUGCGUGCGCGUGUGCCGGAGACGUAAAGCAGCAACUACGGCUGUUGUCGCGUUGCGUGCGUGCAUGUGUGUGUGUGUGUGUCAAAACUGGCGUAUUCCGGAGGUGUUCAAAACGGGCAACUCGAAUACAGGUGGCAUACAACAACAGAGGGUACAUG
rnacentral:misc_RNA from 1 species